UACGAAGGGGGCUAGCGUUGCUCGGAAUCACUGGGCGUAAAGCGCACGUAGGCGGCUUCUUAAGUCAGGGGUGAAAUCCUGGAGCUCAACUCCAGAACUGCCUUUGAUACUGAGAAGCUUGAGUUCGGGAGAGGUGAGUGGAACUGCGAGUGUAGAGGUGAAAUUCGCAGAUAUCAGGAGGAACACCAAUUGCGAAGGCAGCUCGCUGGGACGUUACUGACGCUGAGACGCGAAAGCGUGGGGAGCAAACAGG
rnacentral:rRNA from 1 species